UCGUAGUUCAAUGGUAGAACGUCACGUUGUGGCCGUGACGACCGUGGUUCGAUUCCG
rnacentral:tRNA from 14 species